rnacentral:misc_RNA from 1 species
GCUAAAGAGUCGGACAUUGUCGUUAUUCCUAUUGGAGUAGGACAAGCUGCUGUCGAAGAAGUGAAAUCGUUAUCGGGAUCGUCGGGAAAGUUUUAUACUGUCCCGUCUUUUAGUCAGUUACCCUCUCUCAUAGCCGAGGUCGCCAUAGAAGCAUGCAGAGUUCCUGUUGCCGAAAAGUCGAUCCAGGAUCAAGCCUGUGGCUCUCGGCAAGAAGCAGAUAUUAUGUUUAUGCUGGACAGUAUCAACGCCGGUCGAAAGAACACGAAAAGAGCUUUAGCUUUAAUAAGGGACCUCACCAACGAGCUUGAUGUUGCCCCUGAUAAAAUACAGAUCGGACUGAUGUCUGCCGAGUGUCAUGAGGAUACCACAGGGUUCUUACUGAAUUCAAACAAAAAUAAGAACGAAGUUAAUGAUGCGUUAUCAAAAACGAAAAGCGUCGAUUUUUCGGCGCUACUGAAACGGAUGAGACAUGGUGCCUUUAGUCAGAACCACGGAGGACGACGGCACGCUAAGAAAUUUUUUCAAAGUAUCAGAUUACAGCGAGCUUCCUGCAAUCAAACAGAAAAUAUGGGACAGUUUAUGUGACGAACUUUGAUUUCCAAUCAUGUCUUGUAUAUAAAGAACAAGACACGCAAUUGAAGGAACGAUAACCCGAUACAGCGUUGUCCAAAAAUGGGUUUGAUGAAAAGAUGUGUAAAGGCAGGCCGUCGAAAGCUGGAUAAAACGAGAACUUUCUUUACCAAACUUUUGUAAUGUUUGGAAACGAGUCUGUCGUUUUAAUAAUCUUAAAGCAUAGUCGAGAACAAAAUUUUCAAAGCGACUUUUAGAAACCGGACAUAAGUAUACACUAGCAGGUCCGAUGACCUCCAUAUCUCAAAGCACUUAAUGGUUCAAAGUGUAGUCAUAAUAAUUGUUCAAAGCAUAAACUGCAGUGCUGUAACUACUUAUAGUCUUUACAUAUAAGGGGGUAUUAUAACAGUGUCAUAGCGGGUAUAAGACAUAUAUUGUUUGCAUACAUAAAUAUACUGAUAUAUGACAUGAAUUUUACAAUCAAAGUGAAGUGGUGCUGCAUUGUAUAUUUGCAAUGUUACUGUUGGUUUUCUGUGUUCAUGUUCCAAAUAUUUUGUACCUUAUACUAUUUUUUAUAUUUGUUCAUAUUUUCUAAAAUGUUGUUUAUUGCUUUUAUUAAACAUAAUAUGUUUAUCAAUAA